GGACCCGCCGGGACGGUCGUUAUCACCCUCUCACGGCGGUAACAGGGGUUCGAAUCCCCUACGGGACGCCA
rnacentral:tRNA from 1 species